rnacentral:rRNA from 1 species
AUGGCUCCCACGUCCAAGGAUGGCAGCAGGCGCGAAAAUUGUCCACUCUUUUGAGAGGAGACAGUUAUGAAACGUGAGUAGAAGGGUCGAGUGUAAAAACCUUGACGUGAAGCAAUUGGAGGGCAAGUUUUGGUGCCAGCAGCCGCGGUAAUUCCAACUCCAAGAGUGUCUAUGGUGGAUGCUGCAGUUAAAGGGUCCGUAGUCGUAGAUGCAAUUAAAAGGUGGUGUUAAAAGCCAUUGAGUUUGUUGAGAGUAGCGGAACGGAUAGGGAGCAUGGUAUAGGUGGGCAAAGAAUGAAAUCUCAAGACCCCACCUGGACCAACGGAGGCGAAAGCGAUGCUCUUAGACGUAUCUGGGGAUCAAGGACGAAGGCUAGAGUAUCGAAAGUGAUUAGACACCGCUGUAGUUCUAGCAGUAAACUAUGCCGACAAUGCUGGGUGUUGCGAGAGCGAUGCUUGGUGUGGGAGAAAUCUUAGUUUUCGGGCUCUGGGGAUAGUACGCUCGCAAGGGUGAAACUUAAAGCGAAAUUGACGGAAGGACACUACCAGGAGUGGAUUGUGCUGCUUAAUUUAACUCAACGCGGGAAAACUUACCAGGGUCAAGUCUAUCGUAGAUUGGAGACAUGAGGUAGACAAGAGUGGUGCAUGGCCGUUGGAAAUUGAUGGGGCGACUUUUAGCUUAAGUGCUGGAACCAGUGAGAUCUUCUAGACAGGUGUUAUUUAGGCACAGGAGGGAGAAGGCAAUAACAGGUCCGUGAUGCCCUUAGAUAUCCUGGGCAGCAAGCGCAAUACAAUAUCUCUUGAGAAGACAAAGCAAUUUGAGAUGAGUAGGAUUAGCUUUUGUAAAUAAGCUAUGAAUGAGGAAUUCCUAGUAACAGUGUCUCAUCAAGGCAUUGUGAAUGUGUCCCUGUUC